CAUUAACCCAAAUAAAAAUAUAUCAGUUAUCUUGGUCGCAUUAAGAAGAACUUUCUGGUUCUGCUCCGAUUGGAAGUCUAGUCAAAGAGCUUGAGGUCAUGAAUCAUCAAGCGGUUUGGACCUCACCUCGCCUCAUCCCUAAGCGCUUGGCUGAGAAGCGUUGUUAAAUUUUCCCAUGCAUUUUACCCAGCGGACACAAAACCUAAGCGAUCCAACUUGAGAGGCGGGGUGGAGGCAUGGCUGCCCUUUCCUUGAACUCCAUAUCCCUUCCUCCUCUCAAGUGCCGGAAACUUUCUUUCUGCUGUUCCUAUGCCAGUGCCAGCCUCAGGCCAAUCGCAGUCACCGGCAAUCCUCCUAGUUUUGUCUCCGCGCCAGGUCGUAGGAUAGUUGCUGUUGGUGAUUUACACGGGGAUCUUUCAAAAACACGAUGUGCUCUACAAAUGGCAGGAGUCUUGAGCUCUGAUGGCCAAGAUUUAUGGAUAGGAGGGGAAACAGUAGUAGUUCAACUGGGCGAUAUACUUGAUCGUGGUGAUGGUGAAAUUGCAAUCCUGUCCUUGCUGAGAUCACUUGAUGCUCAGGCAAAGUUAACUGGUGGUGCAGUCUUUCAGGUUAAUGGAAAUCAUGAAACAAUGAAUAUAGAGGGUGAUUUCAGAUAUGUUGAUCUAGGAGCAUUUGAUGAGUGUAUAGACUUUGUAGACUACUUGGAUGAAUAUGAAGGCAACUGGGAUGAUGCCUUUAUUGGUUGGAACAGCGCUACUAACCAGUGGAAAGAGAGAAGGAUAUCCGGUAGUCAUUGGACCCCUUGGAAUUUUGUAAAGAAGCAGCAGGGUGUUAUUGCUAGAUCUUCACUUUUGAGGCCGGGUGGUCCUUUGGCAUGUGAGCUUGCGCGCCAUGCUGUGGUUCUUAAAAUUGAUGAUUGGAUCUUUUGUCAUGGAGGCCUUCUUCCUCAUCAUGUUGCAUAUGGAAUUAAGAAGAUGAAUGAAGAAGUAUCAUUUUGGAUGAGAGACACAAGUGAAAGUACUGAUAAUUUUGCAUUUCCCUUCAUUGCCACCAGAGGUUAUGAUAGUGUUGUCUGGAACCGUUUGUACUCAAGAGAUUCAGAAGAUACAAAGUACCACAGUUUGCAGAUAUCCUCUAUACUGGAAGAGACAUUAGAAGCUUUAGGUGCAAAAGGUAUGGUAGUUGGACAUACUCCACAAUUUGGCGGUGUAAAUAGCAAAUAUAAUGAUAGAAUAUGGUGUAUUGAUGUGGGCAUGUCUAAGGGAGUCCUUGAUUCGAGACCAGAGGUUCUUGAGAUUGUAGAUAACGAAGCAAGAAUCAUAAGGAACAAAACUGACUUGUUUGAUGAGCUAGAAGUCACAAACUUUCUCUAGAAUUCUCCUUCUUUCAAAGAUCAUUCCUAACAAAGGAUCAUCUUGCAAAUAUGUAAUUGCUGUGGAUUCAUGCUUGUAAAAACAGAGAACCAAAAAGAUAAGGGCAAAGGAUGGAUGAACUAGGAGAGCAGCAGGAGGGGCUAGCAGGAUGUGUGUGGCAGUGACUGGCUAAAGAAGAGACCUACUUUUUGUUUAAUGGAAAUUAUGCCUAGUUUAUAUAGGACUCUAUGACAUUUUAUCAUGUUUACUCUAUAUGUCUUGAAAUAAUGUUAAGUAAGACAUGUGGACU